rnacentral:rRNA from 1 species
CCUACGGGUGGCAGCAGUCGGGAAUAUUGCGCAAUGGAGGAAACUCUGACGCAGGGACGCCGCGUGCAGGAAGAAGGUUUUCGGAGUGUAAACUGCUUUAGACAGGGAAGAAAAAAGAAAGUACCGGGAGAAUAAGCGCCGGCUAACUACGUGCCAGCAGCCGCGGUAAGACGGAGGGAGCAAGCGUUAUCCGGAUUUAUUGGGUUUAAAGGGUGCGUAGACGGAGAAGCAAGUUAGUUGUGAAAUCCCUCGGCUUAACUGCGGAACUGCAACUCAAACUUCUUCCCUUGAGUACUGGCGAGGAAAGUGGAAUUCCUAGUGUAGCGGUGAAAUGCGUAGAUAUUAGGAGGAACACCAGUGGCGAAGGCGCCUUUCUGGACAGUAACUGCCGUUGCGGCACGAAAGUGUGGGGAGCAAACAGGAUUAGAUCCCCGUGUAGUC